UUCUUUAAGAAAUAAUCUAAAGUAAAACCUGCUCAAUGAUUAGAAUUAAAUAGCCGCAAUUCUUAUUGUGCUAAGGUAGCAUAAUAAUUUGCUUUCUAAAUAAAAGAUAGAAUGAAAGGUUAAACGAUAAAAAACUUUAUUAUUCAAUAACAACUAAUCUUAACUUAUUGUAAAAAAGCAACAAUAAAAAAGUAAGACGACAAGACCCUAAUAAACUUAAAUCAUUUAGUUGGGGUAACAAAUUAAUAAUAAUUUAAAAAUAACUACAACAAAACUAUAAAAAUAAUUAAGAUAAGUUACUAUAGGGAUAACAGCGCUAUAUUUUUUUAGAGCCCUAAUCAAAAAAAAAGUUUGCGACCUCGAUGUUGAAUUAAU
rnacentral:rRNA from 1 species